CUACUCAAAACAUUGGCUAAUACCGCAUACGCCCUACGGGGGAAAGGGGGGGAGCGCUAGACCUCUCACUAUUGGAGCGGUCGAUAUCGGAUGGAUCUUGGUGGGGUAAAGGCUCACCGAGGCAACGAUCCGUAGCUGGUUUGUAGGACGACCAGCCGCACUGGGACUGAGACACGGCCCAAACUCCUACCGGAGGCAACUCUGGGGAAUUUUGGACAAUGGGGGAAACCCUGAUCCAGCCAUCCCGCGUGUAUGAUGAACGCCUUCAGGUUGUAAAGUACUUUUGGCAGAGAACACUAGGUAUCCCCUAAAACGGGAUACUGAUGACGGUGUCUGCCCAAUAAGCACCGGCUAACUACAUGCCAGCAGCCGCGGUAAUACGUAGGGUGCAAGCGUUAAUCGGAAUUACUGGGCGUAAAGCGUGUGUAGGCGGUUCGGAAAGAAAGAUGUGAAAUCCCAGGGCUCAACCUUGGAACUGCAUUUUUAACUGACGAGCUAGAGUAUGUCGGAGGGGGGUAGAAUUCCACGUGUAGCAGAGAUAUGCGUAGAUAUGUGAAGGAAUACCGAUGUCGAAGGCA
rnacentral:rRNA from 1 species